GUGCUCACUUUGGCAGCACAUAUACUAAAAUUGGAAUGAUACAGAGAUCAGCAUGGUCCCUGUGCAAGUACAACAUGCAAAUUUGUGAAGUUUCGUGAAGUGUU
rnacentral:snRNA from 1 species